CACAUUUAACACGGUUUUCUGAUGUCUUACUCAGUCAAAGGAAAAAAAUGCCCUUUAACUUCAAAGUUCAGGUUGAAACACUGGAGGAAGAUCUGAUACUUCUGAACAUGCUUGAGCGCCUUUUAUGGGGCGCGGAAUAAAAAUACGACAUUAAUUAAGCUGCAUUGGAACUCUCUCUUCUCUCUCGCUCUCUCUCUCUCUCACAUGCACACACACACACUCACUUGUUCACUUCUAUCAAUAUUUGACGUUUGUUCACUUUUCUGGCCAGAACCACCUUGUCCACACAGUGACAUCACAUUGGCAGCAUCAGCCCACAGGCAGCAGAGAUACAUUUGGGUUAAAAGCCCCAAACAGUCCACUGACACACAGACUGCACCAAGCAAAUCCGCUUAUUACAGCUGUCAGGAGGCCCGUUCUGUUCCGGGGUCCGUUUCAGUUAGAAGUGCCAUGAAGAAGUCUGCUUAUUUCAGGAUGUUACACAAUAGCGGUGAAUAACAGUCAUCUCUAACCACAAACUGUUAGCACCCUGGACAAGACAGAUGUGAAAGUUGUAGCGCAAUGAAUGUAAGAUAUGAGAAGUUGGGUAACGGUGUUGUGUGGGAUGACUUUGGACAAGAUUGUAGGUGCGUUAAUUCCACACAAUGAUGCAAGAUGAAAUCUGACCGCUUGGGAGAGCAAUACACAAAACUGUUGUGUGGCCUUGUCCUCUGAGUGUUUUGUUGUAAAAAUUCAAAAUGAAAUUAUAAUUGAUAUUUAAGUAUUUAAAAACAGGAAGUUGUUUUUAAAUAAAAAAAAAGAAAGAGAAUGGCCAUGAUGCUUUUACCAGCAGAGGCACAAAUAUUGGAUGACACUUGAAGCAACAUGAGGCAUAUGAAUCACGCCUGCCAUGAUGCGGCCCAGAGCUGCGUCUCUUCGCCCUCAUCUGGUGCACAGCGUUCCUGCUCUGCUGCCAGGUAAACCACCCCGAGCGUACGUGACACAAAUGUCAUUUGCUUCGGCUUUCUCCUUCAAUUUUCCCAACGCGCAAUCCACCCGCCCCAUCCUCCUUCUUUGCGACUUGGAGAAGCCAGCUUUAUCAGCGGGUGGAAAUGCAUGAGAGCCAUCAUCAAAGGCAAUUCCCUGGUUUCCAUGGAAACAGCCCACUUUAGGGGCGGCGGAUCGGCGGAGGCGUGAGUCGAAUGCCACGAGUUACUAUGGAGACUGGACUGACAGCUUAUAUAAGUAUUCAGCGUGAGUGUCUGGCACACCGAGCCACGUUGCGCAGUAUAAAUUAAUGCUCAGAGUGUUUGCUCGCCUCUGUUGAAAAUUACAACAAUGUCAUUUCAAGUGGCAGGCGGUCCCCGGUCCGCGCCACCACAGCCAAGGUCAGGCUAAUUUCCCUUCCAAUUAAGUCUGGCUUAUCCAACCAACAGCUGUCAACUGCCAUCUCCAAGACCACCCAACAUUGCAGUGGACAACUUCUGUGUUUUUUUGCAGACCAAACACAGGAAGAACUCACGAGACUAGACCUCCAUCCAGGUAAAAAGACUCUGAUGAGAUUUCUUCCUUGCAACCGCAUUCAGGAUGUUUAGUCAAUGAGAGAAAACCACGGAUAUUUUGGCCAUUGCCUCAAUCCGUCCAUCAAUAUUCUCGAGCUGAUUUCGAGGCAGGAUACACCCUGGACUGGUCGCCAGACAGUGGCAGCCACACUCUAUCCAUCCAUAAAGUAGUAGUUUGACUCUUGUCCUACCUUUAUUAUCAAUUUAAGAGACAUUGCCCUGAACAAUAAAAACACUUGGACCAUCUAAAGCACUUUUGUUAAAAAAGAGAGUUUUGGAUGAACCUUGCACAGCUCUACUUCUCUAAUCCAAUUAGUAUCUCCUGCUGUUUUGUUAACAGACACACUGCAAUCAUUGCCUCCUCCCAACAACACCGCAAGGCCUUAUGAAACACUGAGCCAACAAGCACUUUCCCUCCAUAGAUCGAAGCUACAAAUGAGAAAAAUAAUCACAUGACCACCAACGUCGUGGCAAAUGCUUCCACCGAUUACAAACAAGAACUUGAAUUUGAACAUGGGCUCGAACAUGCUACAUGGGCAACAUAACUGGCCUACACAUUACGCCCUUGGCAUUCAACAUUAUCGUUAAAACUGAUGUGUGACUGUUCUAACAACAGUUGUAAAAAGGUUUUACUAUCUCACACUAUGGCCAUUAAGAGAGUCAACAAAUCUUUUAAAGGUGUUGUGGUGGCAACCUGGAAGGUAUUUCUUCUAUUUCCCUGAUUUCCUUUUCAGUUCUUCAAGGCUUUAGUGUAAAUUGGUAAUGCAUGCAGUGUCUGAGAGUCGCUCGAACCUGGCUGACUGGAAUAGUAACUAUUGCACGCGACUAUAAUAGCAGGGACAGAUGGCAGGAGGGAAAAGCCGUCUGACUGCGGCCAGGGACAUGCUCUACUAAGUGAGCUAAGUGAGAAGAAUGCGUUGUGACACCCCUCCGGGGCACCUUGUGAACAGCGUGACAGCGGCAUGAAAGCGUCAACAUGCCAGUUUUCACAGUGAACUCCUCUUCUGUUCAGCCCUGCCAAGACUCACGACAACUUCCUUUUGACUCCGACACUACAGCAAAGACUUGCAAUGACGUUGCUUGAAGUGUUGGUGCAAUAUUUCACCAUGGGGAAAAAAAGAAUGGGGAUUUUUUUUUUCCGGGUCUAGAAGGGAAGAACUAAUACAUCUCUGGAUAAAGGAUAAGCCCGUGUGGUGUUUGAAUUUGGUUUCUCACACGUUGGCAGUGUCAGAGUUGUUGCAUCAUAUCUUAUUCAGGUGAGCACAUAAUUAUAGCUGUAUUGUGGUGCAGCAGAAAAAUUAGAUAUCCGUAGAGCUCAAAAACAUCUCUAAUUGUAUAAUUGCUUUGUAUUUUUAGUCAACAGUCAUGUUUAUAAGCUGAAACCAAGAUAUUUGAUUUGGCAAAGAGAUUAUUUACAGACAGAAACAGGCACACCCAGUCAUCUGUAAACAAAUUGUUAAUGCCACAUGCAUUUCUAAGGAAGAAGUCUCUUUUGCCAAGAUAAAAUGACACUCGUACUUUGCGUAUAUUUUGUAUCAAGGGUUUGUUAUUUUUGACAGUCGGGAACAUGCGAGAGUUGGGAAUUUUCGUCACGCCUCGCGUGCAACCAUAAAGUGAAUAAGCACCUCCAGCUAUAAUCAAAAUAUCAGUCUGGAAGAAGGGUGAAUAAAUAAUGCAAUAUCUUUAGAAUUUGCUUCUUUCACCGAGCAAGAAAAAAAUCUUCUUGGUUUCACUGCCUGCAGCCAAAUACUUUGCUUGCCUGGCACUGCUGCAUUCUGCUUCUAAAGCGAUGAUGCAGUGCUCAAAGAUGUGUUUUUCUUUCUUUUCUUUUUUUUUUUUGCCAAACCGUCACGUAUGAUUCGACACACGAAAAACAAACUUGAGAAACUCUGCAUGAACUCCUCUAGCGCUGAAAACUGAAGCGAGACAUCAAAGCGGUUUCAGAAUGACUAAAAACAGUGAUAUCUCUGAGGCAAUAAACACGUCAUUUGCAUGUGCGUGUGGCAUUUUGUAGUCAGAAGAUCACACAGUUUUGGAGGUGGGGACUGAGGCUGAGAGGCUGAAUGCUGCUGGCAGCACUUUGCCCGCCAUUACGCUUGUUCAUUGAGGCAGUCAAACAGAUUGUAGCGAUACGAGGCUGGAAAGAAGGGAGCAAACUCGAAAUCUCAUCCCCGUUACAACAAACUGCACCACUUAGCAACAAGUAAACAUUUCCACAAACAUCGUAUUACAGGAUGAUUCCAUGACCUCAACCUGGUACUGCUUCUUUAUCUUUAACAUCUUGACUGUUUAGUCAUAUUUGAAAGUAUCCAGAUUCGUCGAUUCUGUAAUGUUUUGCAAUACAUUCU